UGGACUCAGGCAAUGUGCAUUGGCGAGCUUGCAUGCACUAGAGCGCUGAGCGGCGCGACGGGUGAGUAACACGUAUGUAACCUGGCUGUAUGACUGGGAUAACAUUCGGAAAGGAAUGGUUAUACCGGAUACGCGAGUUGGUCGGAUGGCCGACUCGGGAAAGACCGAGCAAUCUGGCACUUACCCAUGGACCUGCGGCGCAUUAGCUAGUUGGUGAGGUAACGGCUCACCAAGGCGACGAUGCGUAGCCGACCUGAGAGGGUGAUCGGCCACUCUGGGACUGAGACACGGCCCACACUCCUACGGGAGGCAGAAUUAGGGAAUCUUCCGCAAUGGGCGAAAGCCUGACGGAGCAACGCCGCGUGAGUGAUGAAGGUUUUCGGAUCGUAAAGCUCUGUUGCCAGGGAAGAACGCUUGGGAGAGUAACUGCUCUCAAGGUGACGGUACCUGAGAACAAAGCCCCGGCUAACUACGUGCCAGCAGCCGCGGUAAUACGUAGGGGGCAAGCGUUGUCCGGAAUUAUUGGGCGUAAAGCGCGCGCAGGCGGUCAAUUAAGUCUGGUGUUUAAGGCUGGGGCUCAACCCCAGUUCGCACUGGAAACUGGUUGACUUGAGUGCAGAAGAGGAAAGUGGAAUUCCACGUGUAGCGGUGAAAUGCGUAGAGAUGUUGAGGAACACCAGUGGCGAACGCGACUUUCUGGGCUGUAACUGACGCUGAGGCGCGAAAGCGUGGGGAGCAAACAGGAUUAGAUACCCUGGUAGUCCACGCCGUAACGAUGAAUGCUAGGUGUUAUGGGACUCGAUACCCUUGGCGCCGAAGUUAACACAUUAAGCAUUCCGCCUGGGGAGUACGGGUCGCAACACUGAAACUCAACGGAGUUGACGCGCGACCCGCACGAGCAGUGGAGUAUGUUGUAUAAUUCGUAAGCAACGCCGUAACAAUCAUUACUCACGUCUGACAUCUCUAUGACCGAGUCCAGAGAUGUGCCUGUCAUCAGAAC
rnacentral:rRNA from 1 species